GGAACAGAGACCAAGCCUUCCCAGUGGCAGGCCACAGGGACACUCCCGGAAGUACUCCUAAGCACAGGGAAGACCAUGUGGGUGUUGGCACACAGGCCUUCAGGGAAGCUGUGUCCCCUGCUGUUUGGAGCUGCUUGGCCUCUCCCGCCUCGCCUCACUCCCUCGCUGGUCUUGUCUCCCAAAUAAGCUGCCUGGGCUCAGUCCUCUCCUCAGAUCUACUGCUGGAGGAUUCGGAACCAAGACUUUCAUCUCUCUCUGCUCCCCCUCCCCACCUGCCCACCACGAUUCCUGUGGCCACAACCCUGCCCGGCGCCCAACACACAGCGGUGGCUCCACCCAGACGUGCCAUGAGCCAGCAAGGGGGUGACCCGUGUCCCCUGGAUC